rnacentral:rRNA from 1 species
GACGAACGCUGGCGGCGUGCUUAACACAUGCAAGUCGAACGGUGAAGCGCCUUCCUUUUUGGUGGGUGUGGAUGAGUGGCGAACGGGUGAGUAACACGUGAGUAACCUGCCCCCUUCUUCUGGAUAACCGCAUGAAAGUGUGGCUAAUACGGGAUAUUCUGGGUCUGUCGCAUGAUGGGUCUGGGAAAGAUAUUGUUUCGGUGGGGGAUGGGCUCGCGGCCUAUCAGCUUGUUGGUGGGGUGAUGGCCUACCAAGGCGGUGACGGGUAGCCGGCCUGAGAGGGUGGACGGUCACACUGGGACUGAGACACGGCCCAGACUCCUACGGGAGGCAGCAGUGGGGAAUAUUGCACAAUGGGCGCAAGCCUGAUGCAGCGGCGCCGCGUGAGGGAUGGAGGCCUGCGGGUUGUGAACCUCUUUCGCCAGUGAAGCAGGCCUGCCUCGUUUGUGGGUGGGUUGACGGUAGCUGGAUAAGAAGCGCCGGCUAACUACGUG